rnacentral:lncRNA from 1 species
GAUUCAAGAGUUCAUAACUGGAAUUUAUCAAAUCAUAUUACACACAUAAUCAUGGCUUUGAAAUCACCCCUAGCUAAGAGGGGUUUAGCAACUCAUAUUCACAACAAAACGAAAGGAAAUGAAUUUAAACAUUAGAAACAAAAGAAAGAAAACACCUAAAUGCUCAAACGAUCCAAGUUAGACAGCAAGCACGUCCAAGCACUUUCCUUCCCUUCCUUUCCUACGGCACAAGGUGUUGGUGAGUGUUUGAAGGUUUGUUUGUAUGGAGGAAUGGAUGUGAAGAUGAAUGGAUGUGUUUGGAUGAAGGUUGUGUUGAAAUGGGAGUGAAUGAUCUAACCAAGUAUGAACUAAAUUUAUGUUACACACACUUCCUUUUAUAGAGGAAGUGCAUGGCAAUGGAGGGGAACAUGGAGUGGUAUAACAAUUGAGUGCAAUGAUGCAUGAAAUCUGAAAUGAUGGAGGGAACAAGGAAUGGUGUAGCAAUUGAGUGCAAUGAUUCAAUGUAAUGAUACAAUUGAGUGCAAUGAUUCAAUGUAAUGAUGCAUGAAAUCUGAAAUGAUAAAGGGAACAAGGAAUGGUGUAGCAAUUGAGUGCAAUGAGUAGUGUUUGAAAUGAUUCAAAGGUGCAAGUGAAGUGAUGAUGCAAAGCAUGGGGGUAAAAUGGAGUGGUGUUGCAGCUAGGGAACAUGAAUGAUUGUGCACAUGCUAAAGAAAGGAAAUGGAGGUGGAAUGAUGCAACAAAUGAGUCAAUGAAGGGAACAUGGAUGAUGAUGCACGACAUAGGAAUCCAAAGGGAGUGCAAUGGUGGUGCACGGCAAUGAUGGAAAGGUGAAUGGUGGAGCGACACCCCUUUGUGGCUGAGCUCUUUGUCCUUUUUACAUUAAUUCUUCUUUCUCUUUAACACAUUCCUAGCCUCUUUAGUCUUCAAUUUCGUCCAUCCACCUUGCUCCAUGCAUGCGCUAUUCAUUCCAAGCCCAAAACUGCUCCAAAAUGCACCAAAAUGCAUCUUAUUGCUUCAUAAGGCCUAUGGACCUACAAACACACGAAAAUAGCUUAAAAUACAUAAUUAACUAAGAAAUAAAAACAUAAAUGCAUGAGAACAAGCUAACUCAGUCGCAUAAAUAUGCUCCUAUCAUAAGCCAAUGGUGGAUUCCUUCUCGAAUUAGUGUAGAUUUUGUUUGUCAUGCAUUGUUUGUCUCGCCAGUGAGUGAUGUGGCGUUGCAUGUCAGAGAUGGCUUAUGUUGCUGCAAUGACAAUUUAUACCAGCGAUCUUGUGCUUGUGGUAGCCGUAUAGGGGUUUGAUCAUUUUGUUUGUUUGUACAAGUUACCUCUAGAUUAAUAUAUUGGUUUUUGAAGAAAUGUACCCAGGUGGCAACCAUUGUAAUCAUUCUUAGUAAUGAAAUCGCAAUUGCAUCUUGACACACCCCGUCCCGAAGGAGGGCGUGCUGGCCGUCACGUGAGAGUGACGUAACCAUUUACACAGUUCGGAAGCUUUAAAAAACUUUCCAAUUACUAAGAUAACACACCCGAGGGUGAGUCCUACUUUUGUGAAUUCUGUCAGAACACCGUUGGAUUCCUCGUGGCCACCAAAGCUCUGCUAACUUGAACCUGGAGGGGCGCAAAACAAAAUUGAGUGGGUCAGUAAAACAAAGUUUUUCGAAAACUUUUCAUUUAAAACAUUUCUAACCCCUCACCGUAAAACCUGUAUACUUUCCUAGAAAAUAGCAUAUAUAUAAACAUAUAUAUAAGCAAAAAUCUCAAAUCUCAAACCUUUAACACUUUUCAGAAAUAUAUAUAUAUAUAUAUAUAUAUAUAUAUAUAUAUAUAUAUAUAUAUAUAACCAUAUGAAAUCUCAAAGCUUGAAUCCCAAAUCUUUAACAUUUUUCAAGAAAAACAUGCCAUGCCAUAAAUCAAAAUAUAAAUCAGGUGAAAUAAGGAAUCAAUCGGAGACCCUGCAGUUGGUCCUAUACGAUUAAUUCAAUAGCUCAAUAUCUCACUAAGCCGGAGUCACCACAGUGACCUAUACGGCCCUACUCUGCACAUCACUCGGAACUACGUAAGGUAGUCUAUACGAUGAAAGGUGUAAAAUACGCUCUAGUGCUUCUCUCAUCAUAUCAUCAGCGCGCAUAUCUAAGGUCACCCACCAGUCGGAACCCCUCUAAUGGUCUGUACGACUGGCAUGUCGGAACCCUCACAUGGUCUGUACGACAUCCACCUACUUGGAUCCAAGGCGAGCGUGCGGUGUGGUGAAUAAUAUAAGCACUAACACCUAGGGUGCAGGUUAUGAGCUCAAAACAUCUCAACAACAACAAUUCAAUGAAUAAAUGAACUCACCUGACUUACCUGUGCCUCCACAGCACCAUGUAACAUGUAUGCAUCAUAUAUCAAUCAUGUAAUUCAUAUAACAAUUCACAUUUUCAAAUAAUUCUAUGCAUGGCAUUUUUAAAGCAUAUCUUCAUAUAAAUUCAUUUUCUGGGAAAAAAUCAAUAGUAUAAAGGUAAUACAAAAACAAAACUGCCCACUCACCUGGAGUUCGCCCAACAACUCCCUAGCACCACACAUCAAGGCAUCAUGAAGAUUAGCGCCUAGAACAAUAAUCAAACCCAACCUCAGAAAUCAUGCCGAUAGAAUACAUAACUUAUAUAAGAUACGUCACUACGUAAUUCGAUCCGGAUGAUCUGCAACUCAGAUUUCAAAUCCGUAACUUCCAGAGGUCCACAAUAUACCUCUAGGACAACAUCUUAAAAUUUCAUUACCAUCCAACGGUCGGAUCUCCGUCAAUUUCCAAAACUAAGUGACGGUUAACAUUCUAUUUUAUGAACUUACAACUUCAAUUCCGGAAGAUCCGUAAAUCGGAUUCUCAAUCCGUAAGUUCCUAUAAUCCUCAAAUAUUACGUAUUACAACGUAUCAAAGUUUGGUGACGAUCCAACGGUCGGAUCGUCAAUUCACAUUUUCACCUAACCACGAAUCGUAACCAACUUAGGUUCAAUUAUUCAAUUUACGUCCAUCAAUUAUCAAAACAGAACCUAGAACCUUAAUCACAAGCUAAUAAUGACAUUGGCGGGCCAUUGGCCACGCACCGCCGCGCGGGCCGCCGCGGGUGGCGGUUGGCCGCCCCGGCUCGCCGGAAAAUUCAACUAUUUCCAAAAAUUACUAAAAUUUGCAGAUUUAAAGAUCUCAAUGAGUAGAACAACUUUCAUACCUGAGGCCAAGGCCAAUUUGGCCUGGAAGUGCUUCAAUUUCACCAAAACCGUGAAGAACCCUAGAAUUGGGUGUUUC